UACGUAGGGGGGCUAGCGUUGUCCGGAUUUAUUGGGCGUAAAGAGCGUGUAGGCGGCCAGGUAGGUCUGCUGUGAAAACUCGAGGCUCAACCUCGAGACGUCGGCGGAAACCAUCUGGCUAGAGUCCGGAAGAGGAGAGUGGAAUUCCUGGUGUAGCGGUGAAAUGCGUAGAGAUGCGGAGGAACACCGAUGGCGAAGGCAGCCCCCCUGGGCUGACACUGACGCUCAGGCACGAAAGCGUGGGGAGCAAACAGG
rnacentral:rRNA from 1 species